UACGUAGGGGGCAAGCGUUGUCCGGAAUUAUUGGGCGUAAAGCGCGUGUAGGCGGUUCGGUAAGUCUGCUGUGAAAGUCCAGGGCUCAACCCUGGAAUGCCGGUGGAAACUGUCGAGCUAGAGUCCGGAAGAGGCGAGUGGAAUUCCUGGUGUAGCGGUGAAAUGCGCAGAUAUCAGGAGGAACACCAAUGGCGAAGGCAGCUCGCUGGGACGGUACUGACGCUGAGGAACGAAAGCGUGGGGAGCGAACAGG
rnacentral:rRNA from 1 species